GGAACCCCGAGNGCCCGUANGGACGGGCNGUUCAGGNGCUUAAAAACCACCUGGAGAAAGGGCCGGGCAAGACCGGUGCCAGCCGCCGCGGUAAUACCGGCGGCUCGAGUGGUGGCCACUAUUACUGGGCUUAAAGCGUCCGUAGCUUGGUCGUUAAGCCUCUGGGGAAAUCUUCCGGCUCAACCGGAAGGCGUCUCAGGGGAACUGGCGACCUAGGGAUCGGGAGAGGUGAGAGGUACUCUGGGGGUAGGAGUGAAAUCCUGUAAUCCUCAGGGGACCACCUGUGGCGAAGGCGUCUCACCAGAACGACUCCGACAGUGAGGGACGAAAGCUGGGGGAGCAAACCGGAUUAGAUACCCGGGUAGUCCCAGCCGUAAACGAUGCGCGUUAGGUGUAUCGGUGACCACGAGUUACCGAGGUGCCGAAGGGAAACCGUGAAACGCGCCGCCUGGGAGGUACGGUCGCAAGGCUGAAACUUAAAGGAAUUGGCGGGGGAGCACCGCAACGGGUGGAGCCUGCGGUUUAAUUGGAUUCAACGCCGGG
rnacentral:rRNA from 1 species